GAUGAACGCUGGCGGCGUGCUUAACACAUGCAAGUCGAACGGAGUUAUUCAUUAGCUUGCUAAGAAUAACUUAGUGGCGGACGGGUGAGUAACGCGUGGGUAACCUGCCGUAUACAGGGGGAUAACACUUAGAAAUAGGUGCUAAUACCGCAUAAGCGCACGGUACCGCAUGGUACAGUGUGAAGAACUCCGGUGGUAUACGAUGGACCCGCGUCUGAUUAGCUAGUUGGUGAGGUAACGGCCUACCAAGCCGACGAUCAGUAGCCGACCUGAGAGGGUGACCGGCCACAUUGGGACUGAGACACGGCCCAA
rnacentral:rRNA from 1 species